UCCUUCCUUCCCUCGCCCCCCUCACCCCCAACCCACGCAAAAGAACUGUCUCCCAAGAAAAGGAACACGAUUCAGAUGCUAAUUCACCACAGAGAAGCAGGGAGGCAGCCGGGUAGUAAAACUGAACUGCAUAAGUUCUGCACAGCACAUUCCAGAUUUGACUGUAUUGAUAGCCUGGAGGUCUGCAUCUGCAUGAGAAAGCUGAGCUAUAAAGCAAAUACAGCUUGGAAGUAGCCACAGCCUUCCUAAUGACCGAUAUCCUUAAGAAUUCAUAACUUGACAGAGCACUGGAAGAGAUGAUUUUUUCCACAACACUAUCAGUGAAAAGGGGGAGCUGUAUUCCAUAUCUGCAGCGGCGGUGGCAGCAGCAGCAAGAGCCGCAUAAGAAAAACGGAAUGACAUUGGAAAUUCGAUCUUAUUCAAG